rnacentral:rRNA from 1 species
GAUGAACGCUGGCGGCGUGCCUAAUACAUGCAAGUCGAGCGCGAGAGUGAGGAGCUUGCUCCUCAUGAUCAAGCGGCGGACGGGUGAGUAACACGUAGGCAACCUACCCUCGAGAUUGGGAUAACUACCGGAAACGGUAGCUAAUACCGGAUACGACUUUUCCACAUAAGUGGAAUGGUUAAAAGGCGGAUUUAUCUGCCGCUCAUGGAUGGGCCUGCGGUGCAUUAGCUAGUUGGUGAGGUAGUGGCUCACCAAGGCGACGAUGCAUAGCCGACCCGAGAGGGUGAUCGGCCACACUGGGACUGAGACACGGCCCAGACUCCUACGGGAGGCAGCAGUAGGGAAUCUUCCGCAAUGGACGCAAGUCUGACGGAGCAACGCCGCGUGAGUGAUGAAGGGUUUCGGCUCGUAAAACUCUGUUGUUAAGGAAGAACACUUGAGGUAGUAACUGGCCUUGAGAUGACGGUACUUAACCAGAAAGCCACGGCUAACUACGUGCCAGCAGCCGCGGUAA